CGGGGGGAGGGGACGGGGUUGGGGGGAAUUACCAUUAGCAGUUGAAGUGGUAGGAAAUUUUUACAUAGGAGAGUAUGGUGAUCAUAUUUGCAUUUUAGAAAAUAAUGGAUAGCAGUUUGUUAGGGGAACAAAGGACAGAGACAGGGAGACUAUUUAAAACAUUAAUAAAAAAUACCAGUGACAGAUGAUGAGGCACCUACCUGAUGGGAAUGGAGAAGAGGAGAUGGAUUCAGAAACUACUUAGGAGGUACAGUCAUCAAGAUCUAGAUGACUAAUUGCAUGUAGGGGGUAAAAAAGUAGGAAGAAGAGAGGAUGAUGACUCCUGCAUUUCUGGCUUGGGAAAGUGGUUAGAUUGUGGGCUGGAUGUGUGCAUGAUUAUGUGUGUGUAGCUGAAAAGGCAAUUUAGCUUUGCAACUGUUGAAGUGAAUAUGGACCAUAGACAUAGAUAUCCCUAGGUAGCUGAAUAUGUAGCCUGCAAAUCAGGAGAAAAUUCUAGGUGAAGAUGGUAAUUGCGAAUCAUCAGAGUCUAUAUGAGGCAGGCAGUCCAAGGCUGAUGCCCAAAGAAGCCAUCAAGACCCGUGCUACUUCCAGCUCCUUCUGUCCUCAUAAUCAUAGAUGAUUGCUCCACAUCCAGCACCUAACACCAGUACUCAGUUAAAUUUUUUGCUGAAUAAAUCAAUGAAUGGAGAGGUAAAGAGGAACCAGAAGUUGGGGUUACAGAAGUCACUGAUGGAAGAGUUUCAAGAUAGUAGAAGUGGUCAGCCCUGUUAAGUGACAAGCCAAGGACUGAAGAAAGACUGGCAGAUUUGGCAAUCAGAUGAAGUGACCUGACCAAAGAGCAGCUUGUGUGAAGUAGUGAGGACAGGCGCUGGUCUGCGACUGGUUUAGGAGGAAAUGGAAAUGAAGAAGAAGAGAUAGGAAAGUGGAGAUUAUAUGAUGACAAGUAUCAAGAUAAAAAUGAACACAUUUGGCCUGCUACCUGAAUUUUUUAAAUCGGCUCACCAAAAAAUAUCAGGCUUAUUGAAAUAUUGGAAUAUCUGAUGAAGUUUCCUCUUAUCUUUGAGCUGUUUGGGUUUGGGUAAAAUUUCAAUGCUUAAAAUUCACGUCUACAACUAGCAGGCAGAACCUUAAAGUCCAGAACCAUUAAAGGGUUUAAUAAUGGUGAGGCAUAUGAUGAUGCUGAUGAUGAUAAUGUUUCUUUCUUUCUUUUGUGAUCUUAAUCACUGUGUGAUCUUAACUAGUUUGAAAUGAGAAUUUCAAUGGAGACAGUAGUGUAAAUUUACCAACAGAACAAUUACAGUCGUGACAAAACAAAAACUA
rnacentral:lncRNA from 10 species